UGAGGCACGCUGGCGACUGUCAACCGCCAAUGUUACACAACUAAGAUAACUGUGCUAAUGCUGUUUUUAUAGCUCCCAUAGAAGUGAAUUUAUUGGCAACCCUAUAGAGAUGUAUCCAUUCUUAAAUUAAAUAUAUCCUGCUCUUUAAGGUUAAAAGAACAAACAACAUCCUUGCGAAAUUGGGCCUGGAGGCAACAUCGGAUUUACUGGGAUUCCGGGAAUAGAAAGCAAGGAGGUGCUACUCGUGUAAAAGGAGACUGUGACAUAAAUCUGCAACAUAGAAACGGUACGAAACACUCACCUGGUCACUUCUUCCAAAGGCAUUACCUAAAGCACCUCAUCCAUUCAGCUGUUACACAUCAAUAACUUCCUGACGGCGAGGAGUGAUCAUUCUGAAAUCCCUGGAAGAGUAUCUAUUACUUUUUAUAUGAUGCCUUCAAGUAAUAAAAAUGAAUUUAUUCAGCCCAUCUGUUAUAAAAUGUGUCACUCAGAUCUUUUGAGGCUACUUUGCAAGAAGCUGUAUU